AUGUGGCAGUGGAUCCGCGGUCGGCUCCCGUCUGGGGUUGAGGUCCGCAAGCGCAAUGGUCCGGGCUCCGGCCUUUGCCCGCUUUGCAGUACUCCCAAGGACUCGAACCAUAUCUUCUUCAACUGCGUUUCUGCCCAGUUUGUGUGGAGUUGCUUUAGAGAGGCGGUGGGUGGUAACUGGAGCCACACCAACUUCCCUGACCUCUUCGACGAACUCCAGAACUCCCCCUGCCCACUCGCCACAUUAGGUGGCUGGAGAUUGGAGCUCUCGCGUGGACCAUCUGGACGAUUCGCAAUAAGCUUGUGA
rnacentral:rRNA from 1 species